GCCCGCUCGCCGUAAGCCCAAGGUUUCCUGCUCUACGUUCAUCGGAGCAGGGUGAGUCGGCCCCUAAGGCCAGGCUGAGAAGCGUAGUCGAUGGGAAGCAGAUUAAUAUUUCUGCACCAUGUGCAAGUGCGAUGGGGGGACGGAGUGCGAAAGAUCAUCCGGGUGUUGGAUGUCCCGGUUUGUGAGUGUAGAAGGCCGACAGGCAAAUCCGUCGGCGGAUCUUCGAGACAAAGCAUCGAGGUUCUACGGAACCGAAGUGAUCGGAAGUGCUUCCAGGAAAAGCCUCUAAGCUUCAGCUUGUACAUGACCGUACCGUAAACCGACACUGGUGGGCGAGUUGAAUAUACUCAGGCGCUUGAGAGAACUCGGGAGAAGGAACUCGGCAAAUUGACACCGUAACUUCGGGAUAAGGUGUGCCUUUGUAGCGUGAAGAGAGAAACACUCGGAGCGUGAAGAGGCCUCAGAGAAUCGGUGGCUGCAACUGUUUAUUAAAAACACAGCACUCUGCAAAGACGAAAGUCGACGUAUAGGGUGUGAUGCCUGCCCGGUGCUGGAAGAUUAAGUGAUGGGGUGAGAGCUCCUGAUCGAAGUCCCAGUAAACGGCGGCCGUAACUAUAACGGUCCUAAGGUAGCGAAAUUCCUUGUCGGGUAAGUUCCGACCUGCACGAAUGGCAUAAUGAUGGCCACACUGUCUCCUCCCGAGACUCAGUGAAGUUGAAAUGUUUGUGAUGAUGCAAUCUCCCCGCGGCUAGACGGAAAGACCCCAUGAACCUUUACUGUAGCUUUGCAUUGGACUUUGAACCGAUUUGUGUAGGAUAGGCGGGAGGCAGAGAAAGCGCAACGCCAGUUGUGCCGGAGCCGACGUUGAAAUACCGCCCUGAUUUGUUUGAGGUUCUAACCGCGACCCGUAAGCCGGGUCCGGGACCGUGCAUGGCAGGCAGUUUGACUGGGGCGGUCUCCUCCUAAAGGGUAACGGAGGAGUACAAAGGUACGCUAGGUACGGUCGGAAAUCGUGCUGAUAGUGCAAAGGCAAAAGCGUGCUUGACUGCGAGACCGACAAGUCGAGCAGAUGCGAAAGCAGGUCUUAGUGAUCCGGUGGCUCUGUAUGGAAGGGCCAUCGCUCAACGGAUAAAAGGUAC
rnacentral:rRNA from 1 species